UACGAAGGGGGCUAGCGUUGCUCGGAAUCACUGGGCGUAAAGCGCACGUAGGCGGAUUGUUAAGUCAGGGGUGAAAUCCUGGAGCUCAACUCCAGAACUGCCCUUGAUACUGGCGGUCUCGAGUCCGGGAGAGGUGAGUGGAACUGCGAGUGUAGAGGUGAAAUUCGUAGAUAUUCGCAAGAACACCAGUGGCGAAGGCGGCUCACUGGCCCGGUACUGACGCUGGAGGUGACGAAGCGGUGGGAGCAAACAGG
rnacentral:rRNA from 1 species